UCGAACGCGAAAGGCCCCCUUCGGGGGCCGAAGUAGAGUGGCGCACGGGUGAGUAACACGUAGGUAAUUUGCCUUCGGGUGGGGAAUAACAGCCGGAAACGGCUGCUAAUACCGCAUAAUGCAGCGGCUCGACAUCGAGACAGUUGUUAAAGCGGGGGAUCGCAAGACCUCGCGCCUGAAGAGAAGCCUGCGGCAGAUUAGCUAGUUGGUAGGGUAAUGGCCUACCAAGGCAACGAUCUGUAACCGGCCUGAGAGGGCGGUCGGUCACACUGACACUGACAUACGGGUCAGACUCCUACGGGAGGCAGCAGUCGGGAAUUUUGGGCAAUGGGCGAAAGCCUGACCCAGCAACGCCGCGUGAAGGAUGAAAUCCCUCGGGAUGUAAACUUCGCAAGAAUGGGAAGAAUAAGUAGAAGAUAACACCUUCUAUGAUGACGGUACCAUUUGUAAGCUCCGGCUAACUCCGUGCCAGCAGCCGCGGUAAUACGGGGGGAGCAAGCGUUGUUCGGAUUUACUGGGCGUAAAGGGCGCGUAGGCGGCCACGACAAGUCACUUGUGAAAUCUCCGGGCUUAACUCGGAACGGUCAAGUGAUACUGUCGGGCUAAAGUGCAGAAGGGGCAACUGGAAUUCUCGGUGUAGCGGUGAAAUGCGUAGAUAUCGAGAGGAACACUGCGGCGAAGGCNGGUUGCUGGGCUGACACUGACGCUGAGGCGCGAAAGCCAGGGGAGCGAACGGGAUAGAUACCCCGGUAGUCUGGCCUUAA
rnacentral:rRNA from 1 species